GGAAUAUUGGUCAAUGGGCGCAAGCCUGAACCAGCCAUGCCGCGUGCAGGAUGACGGUCCUAUGGAUUGUAAACUGCUUUUAUACAGGAAGAAACACUCCCUCGUGAGGGAGCUUGACGGUACUGUAGGAAUAAGGAUCGGCUAACUCCGUGCCAGCAGCCGCGGUAAUACGGAGGAUCCAAGCGUUAUCCGGAAUCAUUGGGUUUAAAGGGUCCGUAGGCGGUCUAAUAAGUCAGUGGUGAAAUCCUUCCGCUUAACGGGAGAACGGCCAUUGAUACUGUUAGACUUGAAUUAUUAGGAAGUAACUAGAAUAUGUAGUGUAGCGGUGAAAUGCUUAGAGAUUACAUGGAAUACCAAUUGCGAAGGCAGGUUACUACUAAUGGAUUGACGCUGAUGGACGAAAGCGUGGGUAGCGAA
rnacentral:rRNA from 1 species